rnacentral:rRNA from 1 species
UACGUAGGGUGCGAGCGUUAAUCGGAAUUACUGGGCGUAAAGCGUGCGCAGGCGGUUCGCCAAGUCAGGUGUGAAAUCCCCGGGCUUAACCUGGGAAUUGCGCUUGAAACUAGCGGGCUUGAGUGUGGCAGAGGGGGGUGGAAUUCCACGUGUAGCAGUGAAAUGCGUAGAGAUGUGGAGGAAGACCGGUGGCGAAGGCGGCCUGCUGGGCAGUUUCUGACACUGAUGCGCGACAGCGUGGGGAGCAAACAGG